GUACGGGGGCGGGGGCGUGGACCUCCACAUAUACACUUGUACACGUAUACACAUAGGUGUGCAUGUCAGUAUACAUACAUGGAAAGAGUGCGUGUGGCAGUGCACAUACAUGUCUGCCUGUUUGCGCACACCUGCAUGCACACACACGCAGUAUGCACCUGCAGGCACGCUGUACCCUAUGUGCUACAGGUGCACUGUGUGUAUACACCUACACAUGCAGAUGCGUGUGCAUGCAUGUACACACACACACACGUGCAUGCAUGUACAUGGCUGCACGGGCUCACACACCGAGUGCGUGAGUAGGGGUGGGAGUCAGUCAGCUCUGUGAGGCAUGUAAACACCUGCAUGCGAUUCACGAGGUUUCCGGCAGGAAGCCGUAGCAUCAGAAGCUGUUCGUAUCUGCUGUGGCAAGAGGUAGGGGUGGGAGUCAGUCUACUAUUUUUCAUAAUGAAAAACAGUGAAAUUAAUUUUUGAAAAGCAGGUGCCACAAAACUCAGGCCAGUUGCAGACGGGCGCCUGGAGCCGAAAGAGGCUGAGAAACCCCCGUACUAGGUACAGGAAGCCACGAUGAUCGCUUUCUCGACAGCAUCUUCAGUAGCACCUGGGUAUAUUUUUCAUGCCUGUUAAUGGGGACUGAUUUCAGACACGCUCCAGUGAAGACAUUAAGUAGGACUGAAAUUGUCUCCUUGUUUCAUUCAGCGUAGGCCUAAAGGCCUCAAGUUGCAGUUAGUUGGUUACUGAACAAACUGCCGGUUUUCAGGGAGUCUCCAGCGCUCGACGCUCCUCACCUCCCGCUCCAGCGCUCGGCGCUGUCUCCCCCGGGCACUGACGCUCCUGGUUAUGCCUCUGGCUUUGCUUACACAAAAAGUUGAACCAGUUUAACUCUGGUUUACUCAAUCUGGUCAAUUUAAGUAGUGCACACCAAUUCACAGGUGGUUUUCUUGGUGUAGCUUGUGUUGAUAACUUUUUAAAACCAAUUUUAUUUAAAUAGGCACAAUAUCUGGCUAGGUGAGGGUUGAAAUGUCAUUUCCCACACCCUUUGCAUAGUCAUAAUUCACUAAUUGAGAAAUUAACUUUUUUUUCUUCUUCUUUCAGCGCUACGACUUGUUGUGAAGCAUUUACAGCUGCUCCACUUAUGCAUAUUUUCCAACAGGCAGGAUCUUUUGAAAACGAUACCUAAUGUUAUGUUAUUAAAAUGGCUAUCCAUACAAGGCAGAGUGUAAAAAUGAAAAUGCUGACAGCAGUAAGAUGCACCGAUAAAGAUGUUUUGGGCCGAUACCGAUGGCUGAUUGUAGACCAUCCAUAUUGGAUGAUACUGAUCCAAUUGCCAAUAUGCAGCCUGGCAGCUUGGAGAACGGCAUUUGGCUGAGCCCUUGCUUUCUGUACGUGCCUUCGUUGCAUCCCAAGAAGGAAAGCUGCUGCAUCAUUGAACCAGUUAGUCUCCAGUGUGCCACCCUGCCCAGAUUUCUUCCAAGGAAGGAGUAGUGGAUGUGAUCUCUGCAAAAAGAAAGCUUGUCUGGUAAAGAGCAAUUUUCCUCUUUAAGUAGCUUUUGACAUUAAAGCAAAGAACUCUCAAUACCAUAUUUUAUGUACUUUUGAAAAAUGGGCUGUUUACUUCGUUCUGUCUGUGCGGGAUAUGCAGAUUGAGGACUGUACUGUGUCAUACACAAACAUCUGCGACCCUGGGUAGAGUAUGUAAUGCUGUAAACGUUACAGUCCACGUGCUUGCACAGAGCAUUGCAUAGAAACUAGAAGAGUUUGUGCCAGAGCCAGGGGCACAGGAGUGGCUUUUUAAGAACUGUCCUUAUGUCUGUUUCUUUUAGUUUGUAGAGGUUAAAACUUUCUGAAACAUUAUGCAAAGCUGAGGUAUAGCACCCCUGCUAAUACAGUAUGUAAAUAUUCUCAUUACAUUUGGGGGGCAUAUUUCACCAUUUUGACAUAUAGCAGUGCUAUAGAGGGGCAUGACAAGGAGCAAUCUAUACCUGCAGCAAUGAUGAAGCAGUUAUAUUUCAGACAUAACAUCAUUCUUUGUAAAAAUAGUCCUCACUCUCUCUAGGCUAAAACAUCACGGCCACCUGUAAGGUUUGUUAUGCUACAGUCAAAACUGCAGUUGAAAGGGAUUUCUUCUUUCCUUUUAGUUUUGUUAACUUACGGAGGAGGAAAUAAUUUCAGUUCACUUUAGGAAUCGGUCCCGUUCCUUUGCACCUGUUUUCCCUAAGUUAGUCCUUGGAACAAUACCGGCUCAAUUAUAGUGAAGUAAUAUCAUGCAUUUUGAGCUUGUGGAAUCCACAGACCGCGUAAUUCUCUGCAUUUCCUCCCCCUUCCUUGCAUCCCACUUUUUGACAGUGUCCUUCUGCUGGAGCUAUGCUGGAAAACCUUGCAACCUUGCGUGUGCGUGUGUGCGUGCAUGUGUGUGCGUGUGCACACAUGCUGCAUGCAAAAUCCUACACUUUGUUUAGUCUGCAGAACCUCUUCUGUUAGCUAACGCUCCAGGCUCCGCAAAGGUGCAGUGAGAGAGGAGCACUAGUAAGUACCUAAGGCAGAAAGCAAACAAGGGCUUUAUCACUGGUCUUUAACUCCUAUCAAAAGGGGAGGGAGGGAGAAGUCAUUUAAACAUGAGGCUUGAAUGAAAAUUAGCAUGGAUUAGUCACAGUUGUCCCAGGAGUCCUGUUAUCUCAGGUCACAGGUACUUAUGGUAGGGAGUGGGGUACUUUACCUGUAGGAUCCCCAAGUGAAAGACUCUUGAGGGAGCCAAGAGGGGGAGGAAGAGUCCUGGGUCUGUUUUUAGCCAAAGGGAAUUCCCCUUGAGGCAUGGCAGGAGUAGUGUGUGUCUCCCUGUCUUUUCCCAGUGGAUGAGCUCCUGGGCAGUUCAUGCAUGGAGGAAGGAUGACUCUCUAGCCUGUUCCCCGCAGGUAAACGGCAACAAAUUGAACUGAUUUGGAGAAACAAGUGGGUUACGUCUGAGCAGCUUCCUUGCUUGCUAGUCAGUUGGCUGAAGAGUGGUUGAUGCUGAUGUUACUUAAUACUAGAUUUACCCUUCUGUGGCCCCUGGCAGAGAGAUCGGGGCAUUCAUCCUCCACUUUGCACAGGCUGGAGGGAACAACCUGGCUCCCAUCUUAGUUUUGAAGAACUUCAUUGCUGAAAAAUCAAAUGCUCACGUGUUCCCUAAGGAACGUAUCCAUUCAAAGGCAUGAAAUAUAAACGUAUAUUGUUACGUGCAAAUGCUUUGCACAAGUACAUUUGCUGGAUGCAUUUGGUAUGUUCUUCAAGCAAGUAGUGUCGUUAGCUGUUAAAUUCUUGACUCCUCUGUUAGGCUUGGGACAGAAAUUACACACAAGCUGGUCUAAGAGAUUGGAAACAGGUUCAGAUCUGGAACACAACAGAAGGAUGGUGCGCAUAAGCCACUUUCAAGAUUGCCGAAACAGGUUUAAGAUAAGCCUGGAUGGAUGUAGUAUUAGACUGAACUGAUUUAGAUUAAACUGGUUUAUUGUACUUCUGACCCAGACCCUCUCCAGAUUCAUAUUAACACAUAGUCCCCCAGCAUCCCUGGACCUCUGCCAGCCUGCAAGGGAAAAGCCACCUUUGCCCACGUUUUCCUCCAUUAAAAGACAAUCCACCCUUAAAGUUUGUUGAUCCAGUUUUAAAGUUUGUUCGUGACCCUUUCAUAGGCACUUGUGACCCCCUUUUGGGACACAACCCGCGAACUGAGAACCGCUGCGGUAGAGCAGCAGGGUCGGUCGCGGAGCGCGCUGCUGCGGAGCGGAGGGGCAGUGCCGCUCAACCCUGUGAGACGGGUCCCACGUACCAGAUCAGACCUCUUUGUGGGCCAGAUUAAGCCUGUGGGCUGGAGAUUGCCACCCCCUCUUAUAGCUCCUUUUCAGCUGGGGCUUUGUAGAUGCUCCUGUUACCUUGUUUCUACAUCGAAAGACUCGUGCUACACGGCAGGGUAGGCUUUCACCUCGUAGACUAAGUCAAUCAGAGGUGCGUAAGCUUUUGUAAGCGAGCUCGCUUCAUACCCCUUUCUUUUUCCUCCCUUCCCUACCCUUUGUUUUCCAGUAACUGCUCUCUGUUUAGAACCGCUGCUUCCUGAAACGUCUUGUUUGACAACAGAGCCGUCCAAUUUCUGAGUGGCUGGGGCUGCAGCCCCCCUAUCCGCAUGCUGUAGGGGCUGCAUGCCCACCAGAGCCGCCUCCUGCACGAGCUGAAAGGGGUCUGCAGGACCUCCCCAGCCACAGACUCCCUUGCACCAGGACUGUGCCGCCCUGCCUUGGCCCUAGUGCACAAGGGGUGGCGGGGGGAAGUGGGCACGCAGGAAGCAGAUGCUGGGCUAGGGAAGGGGAUUUUGGUGGGAGCAGCAGCAGCGAAGCGAUGGGGCAAGCAGACUCGGGACUGGGAGUUUGGGAGCUGCACGCAGCCCACAGGCCGCCAGUCGGAUGCCCGUAACUGGUUGGCUUUCUGUGGUUUACUCUCCUUAUGUGCUGUCCCUAUAUUCAUUUUAGUUCUCGUUGAGUUUUCCUUUUCUUACUCCUUCUUCGAAACAUCUCCUAGGUUGAUCCUGACGGUAAAACAAGCGUACCCGUUAAGAUGACUGCGGGGAAAGUAUCCUGUUUUCAUCUACGCAGCCUGACAUUACUGCUGGGAGUUUUUGCCACGUAGGAACGCGGUUCAUCUGCGACCAUGUGGAUUCCUGGAACGUCCCCAAAAGCACUCGCGGUUCUUCUGUGGGAAUUCUUCGCUAGGCGACUCGACACCAAAGGGAAGGCGACUGAAGUGGCACGCAGCUCGGCUGAUUCCUUGCCUGGUUUGACUUGCCUGUAGCCGUCCUCUUCAUCAAGAACGGUGAACAGCUUUUUACCUGACAAGCUCUUUUGCACAUCCUCUACAGCGGGAAUAGAACAGUGCUGCCUCGAUACUGCCUCGUUGAGGUCUCGCGGGUAUAAACCAAGCGGUAGCGAACCAUCCUUCUUUUGUGCCAUCACGAGGCUAUUGACCCAGGGUGCGUGGGCUUAGUCAACUUCGUAAGGACUCUCACAGCUUCCAGCGUUUCGAGGGCAGUCUUCUACGUGCCUAGGGUUGCACAGGGAAUUUUUCUACACCCGUACACCGCUGGUGGUACUGCCGGGUCGACACAGAUGUGGUAGGUACCGGGAAAUAGGCCCACCCCUUCGAAAACGUCCGGACAUAGUUUGAGAAGGUCCGCCUUGGUUGCGGGUAUUGUCGGGGCCAUUCCGUGGACUCGUCUGAUGAGGUCCGACGUGGUGCAAGCCACCCUACUAGGUCUUGGUGGGUCACUAUUGUCAGUUAGGUAGAAAGGUACAUCAGAUUCAUUAGCACCAGAUUUGCAGCCUGCAAUGCCUGCACCUUUUGGUUUCAUGGGUGCACCGCCAAAUGCGACUAAUGUAACAUGAGUUUGAGCCUUGCAUAGUUUUCCCUGCAAAGCUUUUGCUACAGCUACUGGAAUAGCGUUUGCCUCUGCUCCACUAUCUAACUUCAAAUAAGCUGGCAAGCCAGCGGUCAUCACUGUGCUAUACCAGGGGUGUAGGUUGUAGCCGUGUUGGUCUAAGGACCCAGGCAGACAAGGUUCCUUGGGUGAAUUUGAUAUCUUGUAUUAGACCAACCCAAAUAGUUGGAGAAUAGUUAUUAAGCAAGCUUUCGGGUUCAAAAACCCUUCGUCAGGCUAAGGAGGUUUCAGCACUUGGUGUGCGCUCUUCCUGGAUGGGAUGAAAAGUCAAGAAGCCAGGGGCUGGGCUGGGCUGGGCUGGGCUGGGGAGUCAGUGGCCAGGCAGACUGUAACGUAUCAAAACUCCUGUGCUAUACCUGCGCUAUCCCAGGCACUCUGCUUAUCAACGGUGGGUGAGUGCUGCUUGGCAGACACUACGCCCAUACAGAGGGUACUGACUCCUUUUGCAGAUUUUGGAGCCCCUCCCUUUGAUUUGCACAUUUCUGCAAAGUGGUUCGCUCCAGAGCAUUUGUAACAGGUUUCUCCAAAAGCUGGGCAGGAUCUA